rnacentral:misc_RNA from 1 species
GCAAACUUGGUCAUUUAGAGGAAGUAAAAGUCGUAACAAGGUUUCCGUAGGUGAACCUUCGGAAGGAUCAUUACCGUAACGUCGGUCGCCCAUUGGGCGGCCACAUACGUCUACCACCCUUGAUUUUGAGCACCUUUUGUUUCCUCGGCGGGGACGCCCGCCUGCGAGGACCCCCCAAAAACCUUUUGCAGUAGCAGUAUUUGUCUGAAAAACAAAAUAAUCGUUAAAACUUUCAACAAUGGAUCUCUUGGUUCUGGCAUCGAUGAAGAACGCAGC